GACGAACGCUGGCGGCGUGCUUAACACAUGCAAGUCGAGCGGUAAGGCCCUUUCGGGGGUACACGAGCGGCGAACGGGUGAGUAACACGUGGGUGACCUGCCCUCAGCUCUGGGAUAAGCCUGGGAAACCGGGUCUAAUACCGGAUAUGACUCCAUGACGCAUGUUGUGGGGUGGAAAAGACCUUGUGCGGCUGAGGAUGGGCCCGCGGCCUAUCAGCUUGUUGGUGGGGUGAUGGCCUACCAAGGCGACGACGGGUAGCCGGCCUGAGAGGGCGACCGGCCACACUGGGACUGAGACACGGCCCAGACUCCUACGGGAGGCAGCAGUGGGGAAUCUUGCGCAAUGGGCGAAAGCCUGACGCAGCGACGCCGCGUGA
rnacentral:rRNA from 1 species